rnacentral:rRNA from 1 species
AGAACGAACGCUGGCGGCAGGCUUAACACAUGCAAGUCGAACGCUCGUAGCAAUACGGGAGUGGCAGACGGGUGAGUAACGCGUGGGAACAUACCCUUCGGUUCGGAAUAGCUCAGGGAAACUUGGAUUAAUACCGGAUACGGCUGAGAGGCGAAAGAUUUAUCGCCGGAGGAUUGGCCCGCGUUCGAUUAGCUUGUUGGUGAGGUAACGGCUCACCAAGGCGAUGAUCGAUAGCUGGUCUGAGAGGAUGAUCAGCCACAUUGGGACUGAGACACGGCCCAAACUCCUACGGGAGGCAGCAGUGGGGAAUAUUGGACAAUGGGCGCAAGCCUGAUCCAGCCAUGCCGCGUGAGUGAUGACGGCCUUAGGGUUGUAAAGCUCUUUCGCUCGGGACGAUAAUGACGGUACCGAGAUAAGAAGCCCCGGCUAACUUCGUGCCAGCAGCCGC